rnacentral:rRNA from 1 species
AUUGAACGCUGGCGGCAGGCCUAACACAUGCAAGUCGAACGGUAACAGGGAUCAGCUUGCUGAUUCGCUGACGAGUGGCGGACGGGUGAGUAAUGUCUGGGAAACUGCCUGAUGGAGGGGGAUAACUACUGGAAACGGUAGCUAAUACCGCAUAACGUCGCAAGACCAAAGAGGGGGACCUUCGGGCCUCUUGCCAUCGGAUGUGCCCAGAUGGGAUUAGCUAGUAGGUGGGGUAACGGCUCACCUAGGCGACGAUCCCUAGCUGGUCUGAGAGGAUGACCCGCAACCGGGGAACUGAGACAGGGCCAAGACUCCCAGGGGGGGCAGCAGGGGGGAAUAUUGCAAAAGGGGGGAAAGCCUGAUGAACCCAGGCCGGGUUUAUGAAGAAGGCCUUCGGGUGGGAAAGUAAUUUAAGGGGGGGGGAAGGGAGUAAAGUUAAAACCUUUGCUCAUUGACUUUACCGGCAAAAGAAGCCCCGGCUAACCCCGG